UUUUAAAUUGAGAGUUUGAUCCUGGCUCAGGACGAACGCUGGCGGCGUGCUUAACACAUGCAAGUCGAGCGAUGAAGCUUCCUUCGGGAAGUGGAUUAGCGGCGGA
rnacentral:rRNA from 1 species